rnacentral:tRNA from 1 species
GGGACCCUAGUAUACCACUAAUACAUGACCCUGUCAGUGUCAAAACAUAGAGCCCUAUGAGUCCCC